GAUGAACGCUGGCGGCGUGCCUAAUACAUGCAAGUCGAGCGAACAGACGAGGAGCUUGCUCCUCUGACGUUAGCGGCGGACGGGUGAGUAACACGUGGAUAACCUACCUAUAAGACUGGGAUAACUUCGGGAAACCGGAGCUAAUACCGGAUAAUAUAUUGAACCGCAUGGUUCAAUAGUGAAAGACGGUUUUGCGGUCACUUAUCGAUGUAUCCGCGCCGCAUUAGCGGGUUGGUAAGGUAACGGCUUACCAAGGCAACGAUGCGUAGCCGACCUGAGAGGGGGAUCGGCCACACUGGAACUGAGACCCGGUCCAGACUCCAACGGGAGGCAGCAGUAGGGAAUCUUCCGCAAUGGGCGAAAGCCUGACGGAGCAACGCCGCGUGAGUGAUGAAGGUCUUCGGAUCGUAAAACUCUGUUAUUAGGUAAGAACAAAUGUGUAAGUAACUAUGCACGUCGUGACGGUACCUAAUCAGAAAGCCACGGCUAACUACGUG
rnacentral:rRNA from 1 species